rnacentral:lncRNA from 1 species
UCAGCUAUUGCUAGCAAUAGCAAAUCUAGUUAUUAUGGCACCCUCAACGGAGUUGGGGUGACAUAUUGUUAUUCUACGUUUCUUUUUUUUCUUAUUUUUCUUCUUGCAACAAAUUUUGUCCAGGGGAUUUCUUGAAAUCCAAUGGACCAAUGUCGAUGGAACUCUACUAUAAUAAGUACCCCGACGUGCAGAGUUGCAGUAAGCAUGGAAUGGUUCAAGAUGGCUGCCGUUACCAUGGAAACAGAA